UGUAGAGCCAAGUUUCUAACC
rnacentral:miRNA from 1 species